rnacentral:rRNA from 1 species
UACGUAGGGUGCAAGCGUUGUCCGGAAUUAUUGGGCGUAAAGAGCUCGUGGGCGGUCUGUCGCGUCGGCUGUGAAAACCCGGAGCUCAACUCCGGGCCUGCAGUCGAUACGGGCAGACUGGAGUUCGGCAGGGGAGACUGGAAUUCCUGGUGUAGCGGUGAAAUGCGCAGAUAUCAGGAGGAACACCGGUGGCGAAGGCGGGUCUCUGGGCCGAUACUGACGCUGAGGAGCGAAAGCGUGGGGAGCGAACAGG